AGCCGGGUCGUCUAGCGGCCAAGGAUGCGGGGCUUUGGAUCACCCGCUCAACGGGUGAGGAGAACCCCCGUGACCGGGGUUCGAAUCCCCGCCCGGCUA
rnacentral:tRNA from 1 species